GAUGAACGCUGGCGGCGUGCUUAACACAUGCAAUUCGAGCGAAGCAGUUAAGUUGAUUUCUUCGGAUUGAUUCUUAACUGACUGAGCGGCGGACGGGUGAGUAACGCGUGGGUGACCUGCCCCAUACCGGGGGAUAACAGCUGGAAACGGCUGCUAAUACCGCAUAAGCGCACAGAGCUGCAUGGCUCGGUGUGAAAAACUCCGGUGGUAUGGGAUGGGCCCGCGUCUGAUUAGGCAGUUGGCGGGGUAACGGCCCACCAAACCGACGAUCAGUAGCCGGCCUGAGAGGGCGACCGGUCACAUUGGGACUGAGACACGGCCCAAACUCCUACGGGAGGCAGCAGUGGGGAAUAUUGCACAAUGGGGGAAACCCUGAUGCAGCGACGCCGCGUGAGCGAAGAAGUAUUUCGGUAUGUAAAGCUCUAUCAGCAGGGAAGAUAAUGACGGUACCUGACUAAGAAGCCCCGGCUAACUACGUGCCAGCAGCCGCGGUAAUACGUAGGGGGCAAGCGUUAUCCGGAUUUACUGGGUGUAAAGGGAGCGUAGACGGCAAGGCAAGUCUGAUGUGAAAACCCAGGGCUUAACCCUGGGACUGCAUUGGAAACUGUCUGGCUCGAGUGCCGGAGAGGUAAGCGGAAUUCCUAGUGUAGCGGUGAAAUGCGUAGAUAUUAGGAAGAACACCAGUGGCGAAGGCGGCUUACUGGACGG
rnacentral:rRNA from 1 species